UGCAGGCAGAUACAGUAAGGGUCUUUACAUCAUGUUUAGCACGGAUAUCGUGGGCCCGAAGGCCUGUUCCUGUGCUGUGCUAUGCUGUUUUCUGUCG